GAUGAAGAACGCAGCGAAAUGCGAUAAGUAAUGUGAAUUGCAGAAUUCAGUGAAUCAUCGAAUCUUUGAACGCACAUUGCGCCGGCCAGUAUUCUGGCGAGCAUGCCUGUUCGAGCGUCAUUUCAACCAUCAAGCCCCAGGCUUGUGUUGGAGCCCUGCGGCUGCCGCAGCCUCCCAAAACCAGUGGCGGGCUCGCUAUCACACCGAGUGCAGUAGUUUACUCUUCGCUCAGGGCGUGUGGCGGGUGCUAGCCGUGAAACCCCCAACUUCUCAAGGUUGACCUCGGAUCAGGUAGGAAUACCCGCUGAACUUAAGCAUAUCAAUAGCGGAGGA
rnacentral:misc_RNA from 1 species